GACGAACGCUGGCGGCGUGCUUAACACAUGCAAGUCGAACGGAAAGGCCCUGCUUUUGUGGGGUGCUCGAGUGGCGAACGGGUGAGUAACACGUGAGUAACCUGCCCUGGACUUUGGGAUAACUUCAGGAAACUGGGGCUAAUACCGGAUAGGAGCUCCUGCUGCAUGGUGGGGGUUGGAAAGUUUCGGCGGUUGGGGAUGGACUCGCGGCUUAUCAGCUUGUUGGUGGGGUAGUGGCUUACCAAGGCUUUGACGGGUAGCCGGCCUGAGAGGGUGACCGGCCACAUUGGGACUGAGAUACGGCCCAGACUGCUACGGGAGGCAGCAGUGGGGAAUAUUGCACAAUGGGCGGAAGCCUGAUGCAGCAACGCCGCGUGCGGGAUGACGGCCUUCGGGUUGUAAACCGCUUUCGCCUGUGACGAAGCGUGAGUGACGGUAAUGGGUAAAGAAGCACCGGCUAACUACGUG
rnacentral:rRNA from 1 species